AGAAUCAACGCUGGCGGCGUGCCUAACACAUGCAAGUCGAACGAGAAAGUGGAGCAAUCCAUGAGUAAAGUGGCGUACGGGUGAGUAACACGUGACUAACCUACCCUCGAGUGGGGAAUAACCUCGGGAAACCGGGGCUAAUACCGCAUAACAUCUACGGAUCAAAUGCGUAAGCAGCUUGAGGAGGGGGUCGCGGCCGAUUAGCUAGUUGGCGGGGUAAUGGCCCACCAAGGCAAUGAUCGGUAGCCGGCCUGAGAGGGCGCACGGCCACACUGGAACUGAAACACGGUCCAGACUCCUACGGGAGGCAGCAGUGGGAAUUUGCGCAAUGGGGGAAACCCUGACGCAGCAACGCCGCGUGGAGGAUGAAGCCCCUUGGGGUGUAAACUCCUUUCGAUCGGGACGAUUAUGACGGUACCGGAUGAAGAGCACCGGCUAACUCUGCGCCAGCAGCCGC
rnacentral:rRNA from 1 species